rfam:Flavobacterium sp. FPG59 Contig_221, whole genome shotgun sequence.
GUAUUGCCCUGAUAGCAGCGGCAUCCUUUUUUUCUUGUUUUUACAAGAAAAAAAGAUAGAGCGAAUAGCAGGAAUAGAC